UACGAAGGGUGCAAGCGUUAAUCGGAAUUACUGGGCGUAAAGCGUGCGUAGGCGGUCUUUUAAGUCCGAUGUGAAAGCCCUGGGCUCAACCUGGGAAUGGCACUGGAUACUGGAAGGCUAGAGUACGGUAGAGGAGGGUGGAAUUCCCGGUGUAGCGGUGAAAUGCGUAGAGAUCGGGAGGAACAUCAGUGACGAAGGCGGCCCUCUGGACCAGUACUGACGCUGAGGCGCGAAAGCUAGGGGAGCAAACGGG
rnacentral:rRNA from 1 species